AGUCGGCCGGGCAGCCGCGCUUCAUCAAUGCCGAAAGGCGAUGGGGUGAGGAAAGUCCGGGCUCCACGGAAAAACGGUGCCGGAUAACGUCCGGCGGGGGCGACCCCAGGGACAGUGCCACAGAAAACAGACCGCCCCGCCUUCCUUUUUCUCCUGCCGGAGGGAAAGGGUGGCGGGGCAAGGGUGAAAAGGUGGGGUAAGAGCCCACCGCGGACCUGGCAACAGGGACGGCAUGGUAAACCCCACCGGGAGCAAGACCGAAUAGGGAUGACACGCGGCCGCGCAAGCGGCCCAGCCCGUUUUCCGGGGUCGUCAUCCGGGUGGGUUGCGAGAGGCCAUGCGCAAGCGUGGUCCCAGAUGAAUGGCUGCCACGUUCCGCGCAAGCGGGGCCAUACAGAACCCGGCUUACAGGCCGACUG
rnacentral:RNase_P_RNA from 1 species